rnacentral:rRNA from 1 species
AUGAACGCUGGCGGCGUGCCUAAUACAUGCCAGUCGAGCGAACGGACGAGAAGCUUGCUUUUCUGAUGUUAGCGGCGGCCGGGUGAGUAACACGUGGAUAACCUACCUAUAAGACUGGGAUAACUUCGGGAAACCGGAGCUAAUACCGGAUAAUAUUUUGAACCGCCUGGUUCAAAAGUGAAAGACGGUCUUGCUGUCACUUAUAGAUGGAUCCGCGCUGCAUUAGCUAGUUGGUAAGGUAACGGCUUACCAAGGCAACGAUGCAUAGCCGACCUGAGAGGGUGAUCGGCCACACUGGAACUGAGACACGGUCCAGACUCCUACGGGAGGCAGCAGUAGGGAAUCUUCCGCAAUGGGCGAAAGCCUGACGGAGCAACGCCGCGUGAGUGAUGAAGGUCUUCGGAUCGUAAAACUCUGUUAUUAGGGAAGAACAUAUGUGUAAGUAACUGUGCACAUCUUGACGGUACCUAAUCAGAAAGCCACGGCUAACUACGUG